rnacentral:rRNA from 1 species
UACAGAGGGGGCGAGCGUUGUUCGGAAUUACUGGGCGUAAAGGGCGCGUAGGCGGCCAACUAAGUCAGACGUGAAAUCCCUCGGCUCAACCGGGAACUGUGUCUGAUACUGGAUGGCUUGAAUUCGGGAGAGGGAUGAGCGGAAUUCCAGGUGUAGGCGGUGAAAUGCGUAGAUAUCUGGAGGAACACCGGUGGCGAAGGCGGCAUCCUGGACCGAGAUUGACGCUGAUGCGCGAAAGCCAGGGAGCAAACGGG